UACGGAGGGGGCUAGCGUUAUUCGGAAUUACUGGGCGUAAAGCGUACGUAGGCGGUGGUUCAAGUCAGAGGUGAAAGCCCGGAGCUCAACUCCGGAACUGCCUUUGAAACUAGAUCGCUAGAACAUCGGAGAGGUAAGUGGAAUUCCGAGUGUAGAGGUGAAAUGCGUAGAUAUUCGGAAGAACACCAGUGGCGAAGGCGGCUUACUGGACGAUUGUUGACGCUGAGGUACGAAAGCGUGGGGAGCAAACAGG
rnacentral:rRNA from 1 species